UCAGGAUUUUGGCUAGCCUGUCUCCCUAGGCCUCUCACUGUGCUCCAUGCCAGAGCAAACUAUGGCCCUGAACCAUUGCUUGACCUUUGCCAGUGUGUUGUGGGCAUUGGAGCAGGUUUCACAGUG
rnacentral:snoRNA from 1 species